GAUUUCUGGUAUAAUGUACCUGGCCCGCUACCCACAAGGUGGUGAGUGCCGGAGCACGUUUACCAUCCUUCUAGAAAACGAUUUUGCCGUUCACUCGGUGGGGUCGCGAUCUAGAUCAUUUACUUUGAAAAAAUUAGAGUGUUUAAAGCAGGCUUUUGCCAUGAAUACAUUAGCAUGGAAUAAUAAUCUAGGACUUCGGUUCUAUUUUGUUGGUUUCUAGGACUGAAGUAAUGAUUGAUAGGGAUAGUUGGGGGUGCUAGUAUUCAGUGGCCAGAGGUGAAAUUCUUGGAUUCACUGAAGACUAACUACUGCGAAAGCAUU
rnacentral:rRNA from 1 species